rnacentral:rRNA from 1 species
CAGCCGCCGCGGUAAUACCGGCGGCCCGAGUGGUGGCCGCUAUUAUUGGGCCUAAAGCGUCCGUAGCCGGGCCCGUAAGUCCCUGGCGAAAUCCCACGGCUCAACCGUGGGGCUUGCUGGGGAUACUGCGGGCCUUGGGACCGGGAGAGACGGGGGGUACCCCUGGGGUAGGGGUGAAAUCCUAUAAUCCCAGGGGGACCGCCAGUGGCGAAGGCGCCCCGCUGGAACGGGUCCGACGGUGAGGGACGAAGGCCAGGGGAGCAAACCGGAUUAGAUACCCGGGUAGUCCUGGCUGUAAAGGAUGCGGGCUAGGUGUCGGGUGAGCUUCGGGCUCGCCCGGUGCCGUAGGGAAGCCGUUAAGCCCGCCGCCUGGGGAGUACGGCCGCAAGGCUGAAACUUAAAGGAAUUGCGGG